UCCAGACUCCUACGGGAGGCAGCAGUGGGGAAUAUUGCACAAUGGGGGAAACCCUGAUGCAGCGACGCCGCGUGAGUGAAGAAGUAAUUCGUUAUGUAAAGCUCUCUCAGCAGGGAAGAAAAUGACGGUACCUGAGUAAGAAGCCCCGGCUAACUACGUGCCAGCAGCCGCGGUAAUACGUAGGGGGCAAGCGUUAUCCGGAUUUACUGGGUGUAAAGGGAGCGUAGACGGCAGUGCAAGUCUGGAGUGAAAGGCGGGGGCUCAACCCCCGGACUGCUCUGGAAACUGUACGGCUGGAGUGCAGGAGAGGUAAGUGGAAUUCCUAGUGUAGCGGUGAAAUGCGUAGAUAUCACGCAGAACCCCGAUUGCGAAGGCAGCAUGCCGGCUUCCGACUGACGCUGAAGCACGAAAGCGUGGGGAUCGAACAGGAUUAGAUACCCGUGUA
rnacentral:rRNA from 1 species